GAUGAAGAACGUAGCGAAAUGCGAUAAGUAAUGUGAAUUGCAGAAUUCAGUGAAUCAUCGAAUCUUUGAACGCACAUUGCGCCCCUUGGUAUUCCGAGGGGCAUGCCUGUUCGAGCGUCAUUUCAACCCCUCAAGCUUCGGCUUGGUGUUGGGCCGCGCCGCUGCACCAGCAGCUGGCGGGCCUCAAAAUCAGUGGCGGUGCCGUCUCGGCUCUAAGCGUAGUAACAUCUCUCGCUCUGGAGACCUGGCGGUGGCUUGCCAGACAACCCCCAACUUUCUUUAAGGUUUGACCUCGGAUCAGGUAAGGAUACCCGCUGAACUUAAGCAUAUCAAUAAGCGGAGGA
rnacentral:misc_RNA from 1 species